rnacentral:tRNA from 1 species
GCCUGGGUGGCUCAGUCGGUUAAGCGUCCGACUUCAGCUCAGGUCAUGAUCUCACCAUCCGUGGGUUCGAGCCCCACGUCAGGCU